rnacentral:lncRNA from 1 species
AAUAAGGCUAAAGAAAAAUUGAGAAAGGGAGAGAGGAGGGAGGAAGCGAGAGAGAGAGAGAGAGAGAGAGAGAGAGAGAGAGAGAGAGAAAGAGAGAGAUCCUACUGUACUUGGUAGAAAAAAAGAAUCUACUUUCCGGAGCUCUGGGGAGUCUACGAUGCAGGCGACGCCAGUAGAGACAUUGCCUGUGAGGGGCUUGCUCUCUGUUUCAAAGAAGACGGGGAGAGCAUAUCUGAGAAUACUGGCAUCAUAUAUGUGUGCCACCAGCAAGCAGAGGGGCAGACAGCCCUUCUGGAAGGAAGGUGUCACCACAGUUAUUGUCAAGACUGGAUUUCCAAGGACCUGCCAGAGUCAGCCAGAAGGAAAGGAGACUGCUCAUCUUUGAGACUGCAGGAAGCUCGCUAUGGGUGGCAAGGAGCCCAUGACACAAACAGAUUCAGCAUGGAAAAGCUUGAAUGCCAAGCCAGGCAGCGUGAAUCCAUCUGCUGAGGGGCAGGGAGCCAUGGAAUACGCCAAUAUGGGCAAAACACAUGGGCGAAACUGCUAACUUUUGAUGACAUGCACAGACCUAUGUUCCCCUGACAUACUUUCCCCCCAAACAUCCUUUUAAUAGAACCCUGAGUUGGUUAAGGGUCCCAGUGUUCCCAGAUGAAAGUCUUAGCGCCUCUUAGUUUCCCAAACUUCCUUUUAGUCUGAAGAAGCUGAUUGACCCAGGUCUGGGGAGGUAGAGAUGAGCAAGUGGGUAAGGCUUCAAGGAAACUGUUUGAAGGGUCAGUUAGGCCUGAGACAUGGUUCAGGGAGCCAAGGGGCUUGCCGCCAAACCUGAUGGCCUAGGUUUGAUACUCUGGACCCAUGGAGUGGAAGGAGACAACAGAAGGAGAGAACCAACUACCAAAAGUUGUGCUGUAACCUCCAUUAGCAAGCACUUGUAAGUAAGUACAACUAUAUUUAAA